UACGGAGGGUGCAAGCGUUAUCCGGAUUCACUGGGUUUAAAGGGAGCGCAGGCGGAUUGGUAAGUCAGUGGUGAAAGGCUUAAGCUUAACUUGGGAACUGCCAUUGAUACUAUCAGUCUUGAAUAUUGUUGAGGUUUGCGGAAUGGGUCAUGUAGCGGUGAAAUGCAUAGAUAUGACCCGGAACACCUAUUGCGAAGGCAGCAGGCUAAACAAAGAUUGACGCUGAGGCUCGAAAGCGUGGGGAUCAAACAGG
rnacentral:rRNA from 1 species